GAUGAACGCUGGCGGCGUGCCUAAUACAUGCAAGUCGAGCGAAGGGACGUGAAGCUUGCUUCUCUUCUAUUAGCGUCGGAAGGGGGAGUAACACGUGGAUACCCUCCCUAUAAGACUGGGAUACCUUCGUUAAACCGGAGCUAAUACCGGAUAAUCUUUUUAACCUCAUGGUUCAAGAUUGAUAGACGGUCUUGCUUUCACUUAUACUUGCAUCCGCGCUGCAUUUGCUAGUUGGUAAGGUAACGGCUUACAAAGGCAACGAUGCAUAGCCGACCUGAGAGGGGGAUCGGCAACACUGGAACUGAGAAAGGGUCAAGACUCCUACGGGAGGAAGAAGGAGGAAAUCUUCCGAAAGGAGCGAAAGCCUGACGGAGAAACGCCGCGUGAGUGAGGAAGGUCUUCGGAUCGAAAAACUCUGUUAUUAGGGAAGAACAUAUGUGUAAGUAAAGGUGCAAAGAUUGACGGUACCGAAUCAGAAAGCCACGGCUAACUACGUG
rnacentral:rRNA from 1 species